GUGCCAGCAGCCGCGGUAAUACGGAGGAUGCAAGCGUUAUCCGGAUUUAUUGGGUUUAAAGGGUGCGUAGGCGGACUGUUAAGCGUGAGGUGAAAUGCCACGGCUCAACCGUGGAACUGCCUCGCGAACUGGUAGUCUGGAAUGCCCCUGCCGUGGGAGGAAUGUGUGGUGUAGCGGUGAAAUGCAUAGAGAUCACACAGAACACCGAUUGCGAAGGCAUCUCACGAAGGGGUGAUUGACGCUGAGGCACGAAAGCGUGGGGAUCAAACAGGAUUAGAUACCCUGGUAGUCCACGCAGUAAACGAUGAUGACUAACCGCUGGGUAUUCGUAUUCAGUGGCCAAGCGAAAGCGAUAAGUCAUCCACCUGGGGAGUACGACCGCAAGGUUGAAACUCAAAGGAAUUGACGGGGGCCCGCACAAGCGGAGGAACAUGUGGUUUAAUUCGAUGAUACGCGAGGAACCUUACCCGGGCUCGAACGGCUGGUGAAGCGAUCCAGAGAUGGUGACGUCCUUCGGGACACCAGUCGAGGUGCUGCAUGGUUGUCGUCAGCUCGUGCCGUGAGGUGUCGGCUCAAGUGCCAUAACGAGCGCAACCCUUGCCGUCAGUUACCAUCAGGUUAAGCUGGGGACUCUGGCGGGACUGCCACCGCAAGGUGUGAGGAAGGGGGGGAUGACGUCAAAUCAGCACGGCCCUUACGUCCGGGGCGACACACGUGUUACAAUGGCGGCCACAGAGGGGCACUACCUGGUGACAGGAUGGGAAUCUCGAAAAGCCGUCUCAGUCCGGAUCGGAGUCUGCAACCCGACUCCGUGAAGCUGGAUUCGCUAGUAAUCGCGCAUCAGCCAUGGCGCGGUGAAUACGUUCCCGGGCCUUGUACACACCGCCCGU
rnacentral:rRNA from 1 species